rnacentral:rRNA from 1 species
GUGAGUCAUCGAAUCUUUGAACGCACCUUGCGCUUCUUGGUAUUCCGAGGAGCAUGCCUGUUUGAGUGUCAUUAAUAUAUCAAUCUCUUCAGCCUUUUGCUUGUUUGAGUAUUGGAUCUGGAGGGCUUGCUGGCUUUCUUUUGAAGGUUGGCUCCUCUGAAAUGCAUUAGCGGAACAUAUUGUUGACCCGUUCAUUGGUGUGAUAACUAUUUACGCUAUUGACGUGAGACAGGUUCAGCUCCAACAGUCCAUUGACUUGGACAACUUUUCAUUAAUGUGACCUCAAAUCAGGUAGGACUACCCGCUGAACUUAAGCAUAUCAAUAAGCGGAGG